rnacentral:misc_RNA from 1 species
CUGUUCUCCACGCGGCACCAGACGCACGAUUCGUCUCUGCUUCCCUCGUCGGCCAAGCUCUCUCUCCCGCUGCCUUCUCUGUGCCGCCUCCUCGCCAUGCUGUGCGCUGCCAGCCGCGCCGCUCGGACUUCAGCAUCGGCCUUUUGUGUGCUCCGCUGCGCCAGAUCGCCGUGUUACCGUGGAGCUACAUGCCUUGCCCUUCGCUGUCGUUGUAGCGGAGUCGUCAUCGCCCAAGUGCUGAGCGCCCUGAACUCGCUACCGUUCUGCAGCCCCGCCGUCGACUCCCUGCUCGUCUCGCUACUUUGUCAUCAUUCACUAUCCCCGUCCUCGACGUCUACCUCGCCGCUCCUCGUGUCUAGCAAGCCGUCACGUUUGGCGGGUUUCCUCUAUGCGGCCUCACGCGUUCCUCUCGCUUCAUUCACAUGUCGUGUGGUAGAGCAGGUAUGGUUAUUUGAUUCGAUGUAUGUGUGGAUGCGGAAUAAAUUUCAAGAGAAAUAG